GACGAACGCUGGCGGCGUGCUUAACACAUGCAAGUCGAACGGAAAGGCCCUGCUUUUGUGGGGUGCUCGAGUGGCGAACGGGUGAGUAACACGUGAGUAACCUGCCCUUGACUUUGGGAUAACUUCAGGAAACUGGGGCUAAUACCGGAUAGGAGCUCCUGCUGCACGGUGGGGGUUGGAAAGUUUCGGCGGUUGGGGAUGGACUCGCGGCUUAUCAGCUUGUUGGUGGGGUAGUGGCUUACCAAGGCUUUGACGGGUAGCCGGCCUGAGAGGGUGACCGGCCACAUUGGGACUGAGAUACGGCCCAGACUCCUACGGGAAGCAGCAGUGGGGAAUAUUGCACAAUGGGCGGAAGCCUGAUGCAGCAACGCCGCGUGCGGGAUGACGGCCUUCGGGUUGUAAACCGCUUUCGCCUGUGACGAAGCGUGAGUGACGGUAAUGGGUAAAGAAGCACCGGCUAACUACGUG
rnacentral:rRNA from 1 species